rnacentral:rRNA from 1 species
GUGCCAGCCGCCGCGGUAAUACGGAGGGUGCGAGCGUUGUUCGGAUUUAUUGGGCGUAAAGCGCGUGCAGGCGGUCUUCUAAGUCUGAUGUGAAAGCCCCGGGCUUACCCCGGGAAGUGCAUUGGAAACUGGGAGACUUGAGUACGGGAGAGGGCAGCGGAAUUCCUGGUGUAGGGGUGAAAUCCGCAGAUAUCAGGAAGAACACCGGUGGCGAAGGCGGCUGCCUAGACCGAUACUGACGCUGAGACGCGAAAGCGUGGGGAUCAAACAGGAUUAGAAACCCCCGUAGUCC